CUUUCUUUGCUGGCGACCGGCGCAUGGGUGAGUAACACGUAUCCAACCUGCCCUUUACUCGGGGAUAGCCUUUCGAAAGAAAGAUUAAUACCCGAUAGCAUAAUGAUUCCGCAUGGUUUCAUUAUUAAAGGAUUCCGGUAAAGGAUGGGGAUGCGUUCCAUUAGGUUGUUGGUGAGGUAACGGCCCACCAAGCCUUCGAUGGAUAGGGGUUCUGAGAGGAAGGUCCCCCACAUUGGAACUGAGACACGGUCCAA
rnacentral:rRNA from 1 species